UGUGGUCUAUCAGUGUUUCGCCACUUUCCCCAAACUGACUGUGGAGGCGCUGACAUUGCCAGCCAUAUCGGCGUUACCCUCGAGUUUUGUAUCCAGACCUGCUGUGCGAACUCUACAUGCCUGUCGUUUCAGUACAACACACAAAAUACAAACUGUUACUUGAAAAACAAACUCUGCUCGGCUGGAGAAAAAGUAUCUGCAGUACAUGGCAACAUGUACGAUCGGCUUGAUGGGUGUCCAUACGGCUACUCGUACCUGGCGCACACUCACCUGUGUUACCGUGCCGAUGUCAGUGAGAGUACCUACGACCAGGCCUUGACGACCUGCCAAGCAAACGGCGGCACGCUGGCCAUGCCUCGCGACAACACCACCAACGACUUCCUAAUCGCAUUGAAGAACGACGCAAACCCGAAUAUCUGGUUCUUUUUGGACUGGACAUAAGGGACGGAUCGUGGAAUUACGUAGAUGGCGGGGAGCUGAGUUACACCGACUGGGGCGAUGGAGAGCCGAACAAUUCCGGUGGAGCCGAACAGUGCGCGCAAUACUUCCCGGGAAAUUAUAGUGAUAACCACAAAUUGAGAAAUAAAUGGAACGAUGGAUACUGUCUAGGAGGUAUUGGUUCCAUCUGCGAAGUUGGUGCUAAUGUCGCCCUGGGGAAGACGGCGUUCCAAACUAGCAACAGGGAGCCUGCCAGCGUUGCCGUAGACGGGAACAUAGCUACUAACUACGAUGCUGGUUCCUGUACACACACUGUAGGUGACUAUGGAGAGGAUAACCCAACCUGGUGGGUGGAUCUCGGCCAAUCGUAUGUGAU